AUUUCAGAUAACGAUCUGAGCAAAGCAGGGAGUAUGCUUCUAGCUUGAGUGGCAAAAUGGCCGACAGGAUGCAGACAGGUAAAAAAAAACUCGACACAGAGUAGAUUAGGAGGAUGGCUGGUACCUCCUCCUACUGGCUAGAAAAUGUAACAGCAGGUCACCCAAUGAGCCACUACAGUGUCAUAUAAAGUGUACAUUCUCUCUCUCUCUCAAUGUAUUUUCACUGCUUUUCCAAUGUGGGCUACAUCUUCCCCCCCUAAACUCAUGCACGUCCCGUUGCAUGGCAGUGGUU